rnacentral:antisense_RNA from 1 species
GAGCCUCACAGCAAAGCCCUCUGGAGCCUUGAUGUCCGUGCUGCUCUCUUGGCCUUUGCGAUACGGCUCUGGGUACCCGGGGGAUGUCAGCUGCUGGGGUAGCUCUUGGGCCAAGAGGACGGAGCCCCGGGUGGGGCAAGCCUGGAGGACUCCCCAGAGGAGCAGCCACCACCUCCUCCCGCGCAGCCUGAGCUCUAGGAUUGUGGGUUUUCCAUCCUCCGAAGACAUCACCUUUGCUCAUCUCCCAGGAGAGUCUCAUCCAAAGGAGGGGGGUGCUUUCUGCUUCAGCAGAUCCCACCCCACCCUGGGAUCCGAGGGAGCAAUGGUGGGGCGAGUGAGGGUCUGCCGCAAAUAUCCCCCGACCACCCUCAGGGAAGGCGCUAGAGGCCACAGGCAAAUUUCAGUUUCCCCAUGGAAUAUCUGCUGUGCUGCUGCUGCUGCUGCUGGUGGCUAGAGAGAUUUAGGAGAGCCACAGUCUAUGGCUACAAGGAGAUGAUAAGAGAGUGAUGGCCAGGACAGAUGCAAUUUCUCAGAACUCUUAGGGUCACCUGCAGCACCUUGGGAGCCAGAGAUGCAGCCAAAGAGUGAAAAAUGGUACCAAUCCCAAGACCCAUGUGUUAGGAAGAAACCAGCCAAGACUCAGAUCAGGAUUGGGGAGUCCACCCCUCGUUUCCCUUCAGAGCAUUAUUUCCUUGUUUGCUAAGAGGGGCAGGAACUGGAAAACUCAGGCUAGCCCAUCUGAGAAGACUUUCUUGGAGAAGAGCUGGAGGAGGGAGGAGUAAGGCCUUGGAAAGAAACUCCAGGACAGCACCACCUCCCCUACACUGGGACCUCGUCUCUAACUGGCAGAGUGGUCAAUGAAAAAAAGGGCAUGCCUUGGCACAUCAUGGUCAAACUGCUAAAAGCCAAAGACAAAGAGAAAAUCUUUUCUUUUUUUUUCAAUCCCAUCCUAAAGACUAGACAGAACAAUAUUUUCAAUGUCACUGUUUUCUCAUCAAAAGCCAUAUAGACGAGAAGGCAGUGGAAUAUCUCUAAAAUACUGAAGGAAAAAAAAGUCAACUCAGAAUUGUUUUUCUAGUGAAAGUAUUCUUCCAGAAUGAAGAUGAAAUAAAGCUAUUUUCAGAUAAAAGAAAACAGAGAUUCUUGUCACCAGCAGACCUCCACUAUGGGAAGCGCUUAGGACAGGCACGACAGCUCCCGCCUAUAAUCCCAGCAUUUUGGGAGGCCAAAGUGGGAGGAUUGCUUGAGCUCGGAAGAUGGAGGCUGCAGUGAGCCAUGAUGGUACCACCGCACUCCGGCUUGGAUGACAGAAUGAGACCCUGUCUCAAAUUGGAAGAGCAGAGCUGCAGACAGGAAUAAAAAGAAUGGUAAAUUUGGAGAUGGGACCAUCUAGUUGCAAGAAAACAAGCUCAGAGCUCCUGCUGAUUGUACAUUAUGGGCUGUGGGCUCCUUGAGGGAGGAAAUUUGUCCUGCAGGUUGUGGCAGCCCUAGGACUGAGCACAUCUAGGUGUCCACCUGUGUCUGUGGUGAGAAGCCUGACCAUUGCCAUGUGACUGUCUCCUCACUGUUGGUACCUGGUUGUAGAGAGCAGCUCUGUGAGUGGAAGGAGAAGGAUCCUGCCCUGGAGAGGGCCUGGCUGGUCCUUACCUGGGGCCUAUCAUUUGGUAACAGGGCUUCUGGAAGUGGUAGCAGAUCUGGGCCUGGUGGGCAUUCUGCUUCUCCUGGGUGGCAGCAGAAGUCCCUAGUUGGCAGGCUGGGGACUGCCCAAAGGCUCUGACUCUCAGGAAGAGCACAGUGGAACAGAAGGUUCUUAUACCACCUUCGCUGCUGUAUUCGUCCAUUCUCACACUGCUAUACAGAACUACCUGAGACUGGGUAAUUCAUGAAGAGAAGAAGUUUAAUUGACUCACAGUUCUGCGGGCUUAACAGGAAUAAUGACUGGGAGGCCUCAGGAAGCUUAUAAUCAUGGCAGAAGGCGAAGGGGAAGCAAGGACCUUCUUCACGUGGCAGCAGGAGAAAGAGAAGGGAGAAGUGCUACACACUUUUAAACAACCAGAUCUCAUGAGAAUUCCAUCGGGAGACAGCACUAGGGGGAUGGCACUAAACCAUUAGAAACUGUCCCCAUGGUCCAAUCACCUCCCACCAGGCCCCUCCUCCAACACGUGGGGAUUACAAUUCCACAUGAGAUUUGGCUGGGGACAUAGAGCCAAAUCCUAUCAGCUGGUAUCCUCCUUUUUCCAGGCUUUAGAUUUGGCAAAAUCUGAUGGCUUCUGCACAAAGCCUCCUUUCAUCUGCAUCUCUCCAUCUCACUCACCCUCUUUUCAGCAAAGAGCCCUCUGGCUCUAGUUUCACUGUGGUGGUCCUGGGAGAGGUAGAGAAGACCCAGAGGCUCCUUACACUGGGAGGUCAAACUGACCAUCCAGGUUUGGCUGUUCCCUGCUGGUGUGUUUAGAACACCAUCUUCCCCUUAUCGCUGUGGACUUCAGGGCCCUGCUGCUCUGUCCUCCACAGAACUUGUCAAUCAGCUUCCUACCAGCUAAGAUCUGGUGCUGUCUGAUAUAUCCUCCCUGCGUCUGGUCACUCAUGCUGUCUAAUGGCGUGAUGUGCAUUGAGUUGUAUUCUGAUGUCUUUGCCCUUUUGAAGCCACAGAGUAAGGUGACACAACUGUGAAAGGAGCAGGGUACCACCUGAAGAUGCUGGACAUUCCUUUUAACAAUUACCUAGGGGAGAGGAAGUCCUCAGACCGGACUCAGGUGGGUGGGCCUCAAAGAGGAAGGGAAGGGGGCAGCUGCCUGCCUCUGAACUUCACUCUCUAGACUCGUGGAAGGGUCUAUCUUAGAACUAGGAUGGGAGGGCUGUGAGCAGUGAGGAUGGAGUCAUGCCUUUUUGUGACUGGACAUGUUUUUACUGCCCGAAGUCAUCUACUGCCCCCACCCCCCAACCCCAUUCUUCUGCCCACUUAGUGAAUAUUGGGGUUAUGGUCAGGAUGGGGUCAUUUGCAAUGAAAUUCAAGGUUGAGACUAUGUUUCAGUUAUCUGUCUGCUUGUAAAAAAUCACACCCACAUUUUGUUUAAAACAACAAGUAUGUACUAUUUCACACAGUUUCUGUGGGUCAGGAAUCCAGAAGCGGCUGAGAUGGGUAGUUUAGGAUCAGGGUCUCUCACAAGGCUUUGGUCCAGGUGCAGGCUGCAGUCCUCCGGAGGCAGGACUGGGGCUGGAGGUCUGCUUCCAGACGGUCACUCACAUGGAUGUGGUCAGGAGGCCUCAGUUCCCUGCCACAUGGCCGUCCUCAUAGGACGCUUGAGUGUCCUCGCGGCAUAGCAGCUGGCUUUCCCCAGAGUGACCCAAGAUGGAAAGAACAAGGCAGAGGCAACAGUGUCUUUUAUAAGCCAGCCUUGGAAGUGACGUGGCAUCAUUUCUGCCUUAUUCCAUUGGUCACACAGACGACCCGAUGUGGAAGGAGAGGCCACAAGGACAGGAAUACUGGGAAGCAGGUAUUGUUGGUGGCUGUCUCGGACGCUGGUUCUCAUAGAAGUAGAUGUAUUAUUUUAGUACAAUAAGUGCAGACGAUCAGCUAGCAGGAUGUUAUUUUUGCUGGGUAUGGUUGUAUUUCAGAUGCAUUUACCCGAAUCCAGAGUACCUUUGGGGGCUCUGACCCUCUCCUCCUCCACCUUGAGAUCUGUAGAGGCCUCUCGUUCAUCCCACCAAGAGCAGGACUGGACAGAUGAAAGCAUGGCUUACAGGAGGCCAGCACAAUAGGAGGUAGGGCUUUGGGAAGACAGCAUAAGUUUCAAAAGAACCAAGAAGCUGUUGAAAAGGAGAGCAGAUGGGCAGGGAAGACAAGUCCCAGAUAGAAUGCACUUUGCAACCUAGGGGAAGCUGACCACAGUGUGCAUCCUGACACUCGAAGACAAGGUCUCCAUCAGCAGAUUGCCCAACAGAACAAGUUCAGAGCCCAGAGAUCCCAGUUCCAGAUCUCAGAUCUCCCACACCCUGUGGGCUCUGUGUGGACUGUCGUCCUGAAACAAAGUCCUUUAGUAAAGGACUCUUUAAAUUCACUCCAUCUGUGCUUUGCUUGCCAAUAGCAGGGUGCUUCUGUUACAUACUGGACUAUCCCUUCCUUCAAUAUGUUUAUGGCUGAGGCUGCAUUUCUGCCUCAGAUAAUCAAGGUGUGUAUAACUCUCUGUUCUAUUUCCCUUUUGUUUCCUCCAAGACUUUAAUAAACUCUCAUUCAAGAGGCCCACCUUGUCCCACCUGUGCUUCUCAGAAAAGAAGGAGUGGUGGGGAGACAGGCUGGGGUGGGGGCUUUGCCACCUGGCUGCCCCUUCCCCUGUGGGUUCUUGCUCCAAUGAGGACCCAGCAGGGUAAGCUUUAGUUGCAUUAAGGGUGACAAUAGUUUCCUUACAGCUGGGUCAAGGAUAUGAGUGAGCCUCUUCCGAAAACAGCCGGGAAGGGAGAGGAAUCCAAGAGGAGAAGCAGGUGUGAAAGACAAGACAGAAGGUGGAUCAGGACUAGGCGUGGGAGGGAGCACAGGCACACAGAAGUUAAAGAAUUCACCUGAGGUUACACGACUCCUCCAGUGGUGCCUUUAGCUCUGCAUUGUGCCACCUGCCUGGGUCAAGGAAGAUGCCACAGCUGUUGUUCUGUGUACAGAGAGGGAAAGGAAGAUGCUGGCUCUCAGCAGUUCUACAGAACAGAGGAUGGAGAGGCCACACGACAAUAGGCACACGCACCGUACAUUGAAGAAGUGCACGCGAGACAGAAUCGUGCGGGAUAUGCACACUUGCGUGGAAGAAAAACUGUUCCAUUCACACUGAGAAGAAGAAGAGGAGGAGGAGGAGGAAGAAGAAGAAGAAGAAAGAUGGUGAGAUAUCCUUCAGGAGACCAGGGCCAGGAGGGUGGAGGCCUCUCAAGAAGAGGGAAGCAGGAGGAAGCUCCAGGGCAGGAUGGUUAUACCGCCUGGACAGCAAGAUGAUGGCUACAUUAGCCCCCAUUCUCUGGGCGCCUGGAUUUGCCCACCAGAUCUCCUCACCUCUUGCCGUUCACCUCCUGCUGUACAUACAAGGUCUCCCCGAUUCUCAUCUGCCCAUAAUCAUGGACGCAGCCCCAGGAUGUGCAGGACACUCAGGGACCAUCUGGAGCUCCAGCCGGAAUCUGGGCCUGGUGGAGUGGGAGUGGGGCAGGGGCCUGCAUUGGGCUGAUUUAGAGAGCACAGUUAUUCCAUCUCAUAUGGAAAUAAACAUUUUGGAUUCCUGAUUACA